rnacentral:rRNA from 1 species
GAUGAACGCUGGCGGCGUGCUUAACACAUGCAAGUCGAACGAAGAUGCCGGAGUGCUUGCACUUUGGCAGACUGAGUGGCGGACGGGUGAGUAACGCGUGGGUAACCUGCCUUAUACAGGGGGAUAACAGUUGGAAACGACUGCUAAUACCGCAUAAGCGCACGGUAUCGCAUGAUACAGUGUGAAAAACUCCGGUGGUAUAAGAUGGACCCGCGUCUGAUUAGCUAGUUGGUGAGGUAACGGCCCACCAAGGCGACGAUCAGUAGCCGGCCUGAGAGGGUGAACGGCCACAUUGGGACUGAGACACGGCCCAAACUCCUACGGGGAGGCAGCAGUGGGGAAUAUUGCACAAUGGGGGAAACCCUGAUGCAGCGACGCCGCGUGAGUGAUGAAGUAUUUCGGUAUGUAAAACUCUAUCAGCAGGGAAGAUAAUGACGGUACCUGACUAAGAGCACCGGCUAAAUACGUG